rnacentral:rRNA from 1 species
AGUGAACGCUGGCGGUAGGCCUAACACAUGCAAGUCGAACGGCAGCACAGUAAGAGCUUGCUCUUACGGGUGGCGAGUGGCGGACGGGUGAGGAAUACAUCGGAAUCUACUUUUUCGUAGGGGAUAACGUAGGGAAACUUACGCUAAUACCGCAUACGACCUACGGGUGAAAGCAGGGGAUCUUCGGACCUUGCGCGAUUGAAUGAGCCGAUGUCGGAUUAGCUAGUUGGCGGGGUAAAGGCCCACCAAGGCGACGAUCCGUAGCUGGUCUGAGAGGAUGAUCAGCCACACUGGAACUGAGACACGGUCCAGACUCCUACGGGAGGCAGCAGUGGGGAAUAUUGGACAAUGGGCGCAAGCCUGAUCCAGCCAUACCGCGUGGGAGAAGAAGGCCUUCGGGUUGUAAAGCCCUUUUGUUGGGAAAGAAAAGCAGUAGGUUAAUACCCCGCUGUUCUGACGGUACCCAAAGAAUAAGCACCGGCUAACUUCGUG